GUUUCAUAAAUAAUCAGAUGUAAAGUAUCAAGCAAUUAGGAGUCCAUCUAAGAUUGCAUGCUACUAUUUUAGAGACAAUAAUAAGAAAAACUGGGUGAUUUUCACCAGCAGUGUCAGCGUCCUCUGGCUCUAGAAGAGAAUUCAGACUGCAACGCAGUAGUGUUCUGUUCCCAUCUCGUCAGAAGUUCUCGGUUAUUUUGAUGCUUUCUUUAGAAGAGAAGGUGGAGGGUCUUAACAUGAAAGAUUCAGAGAUCAACCUUGGGGUUCAGGCUGCUAAGGCUUAUGGGAAAAGCCAAGUGGGGAGCAGUGGGAAGUGAAUUUCCAGGAAAACAAAGGGAUCAUUGUAGUGGAGAACCUGAUGAGACUGGAGAAGUGGCCCAAUGAGAAAGUCUAUUACGAAGCUGUGAGAGUGAUGUUAUGUGAAGAGGCAAAGCUGUAGUAUAAGACUGCUGGGAAUUGCUGAUAAAAUAUGCUGCGACUGAUGCUACGGGGGUCCAAGAAUAACACUGAACAGGUCUAAUAUUCAAACAGAACAGGAGAGAACACACAUGACACAAGUAUUUCUACUCUGCCUCCUUCUCUGUGAUCUGGCUUGAUCUUCUUAAGGAAGGAUCACUGUCAGCGGACCACCUAAGAAAGUACUAAGGAAAGCUGAGAUAGGAAAAAAAAAGACAUCAUGACAUACCAGUGGAAGAAAAUAUUGUAUAGCUAUGAUGCAGCUCCAGAACAACAUAGACCAGUUUUCUUUUCUGGGGAUCAGCCAAUCUUACUUUCUCCUCAGAGGCUGUCACUUGAGAGGGAACAAAUAGGGUUCUGCCAAAGAGGAUCUUGGAUGGAAAUCACCUAAGAACUCCAAACUGAGUGCCAGGGUGGACUUGUGUCCAUUUUGGAGGGUUUCCAAAUUCUGAAUAUUGGUAUUUGAAUCCAGAUGGGGGCCACUCUGAAUGUGGGUCAGCAAGACUUAAAGUAACUUUGGCUGAGAGCUGAUCAGCAUACAGGUCACACACAGAUCUCUUUGUGGUGUUGGAGAAGCUGGGGUCAGCUCAUAGGGGAGUCCUGUUGUAGAAGACCCGGGAGUGCAGUAGGUUUUAUUUUUUAAGGAGUAACCCAUUAAAAAUGAAAACGAGAAGAGGCCUUUGAUCUGUGCUUGGAGCCCUAGAGAACCACAACCAAAAAUGGAAUUAGAAUUCCAUAGUUUGAAGGUUUGUGACCAAACUCAUAAUCCACAGCCAGGACUUUUAUUUUUC
rnacentral:lncRNA from 12 species